UACAGAGGUCCCAAGCGUUGUUCGGAUUCACUGGGCGUAAAGGGUGCGUAGGUGGCCAGGUAAGUUCGGUGUGAAAGCUCGGAGCUUAACUCCGAAAUGUCAUUGAAUACUAUCUGGCUUGAGGGUCGGAGGGGAGACUGGAAUUCUCGGUGUAGCAGUGAAAUGCGUAGAUAUCGAGAGGAACACCAGUGGCGAAGGCGAGUCUCUGGACGACUCCUGACACUGAGGCACGAAAGCUAGGGGAGCAAACAGG
rnacentral:rRNA from 1 species